AUCGAUGAAGAACGCAGCGAAAUGCGAUAAGUAAUGUGAAUUGCAGAAUUCAGUGAAUCAUCGAAUCUUUGAACGCACAUUGCGCCCUCUGGUAUUCCGGAGGGCAUGCCUGUUCGAGCGUCAUUUCACCACUCAAGCCUGGCUUGGUAUUGGGCGCCGCGGGGUUCCGCGCGCCUCAAAGUCUCCGGCUGAGCUGUCCGCCUCCUAGCGUUGUGUUCUCAUGAAUCGCUUCGGGGCGCGGGCGGCCGCGGCCGUUAAAUCCUCCACACGGUUGACCUCGGAUCAGGUAGGGAUACCCGCUGAACUUAAGCAUAUCAAUAAGCGGAGGAAAAGAAACCAACAGGGAUUGCCCUAGUAACGGCGAGUGAAGCGGCAACAGCUCAAAUUUGAAAUCUGGCGCAAGCCCGAGUUGUAAUUUGUAGAGGAUGCUUCUGGGCAGCGACCGGUCUAAGUUCCUUGGAACAGGACGUCAGAGAGGGUGAGAAUCCCGUAUGUGACCGGCCCGCGCCCUCCACGUAGCUCCUUCGACGAGUCGAGUUGUUUGGGAAUGCAGCUCUAAAUGGGAGGUAAAUUUCUUCUAAAGCUAAAUACCGGCCAGAGACCGAUAGCGCACAAGUAGAGUGAUCGAAAGAUGAAAAGUACUUUGGAAAGAGAGUUAAAAAGCACGUGAAAUUGUUGAAAGGGAAGCGCCUGCAAUCAGACUUCGCGGCAGUGUUCCGCCGGUCUUCUGACCGGUCUAUUCUCUGCCGCGAGGCCAUCAUCGUCUCGGCCCGCCGGAUAAGACCAUGGGAAUGUAGCUCACCUUCGGGGGAGUGUUAUAGCCCACGGUGAUGCGGCGCGGCGGGGGCGAGGUCCGCGCUUCGGCAAGGAUGAUGGCGUAAUGGUUGUCGGCGGCCCGUCUUGAAACACGG
rnacentral:rRNA from 1 species